AGAGUUUGAUCAUGGCUCAGAGUUUGAUCAUGGCUCAGAGUUUGAUCAUGGCUCAGAGUUUGAUCAUGGCUCAGAUUGAACGCUGGCGGCAGGCCUAACACAUGCAAGUCGAGCGGUAGAGAGAAGCUUGCUUCUCUUGAGAGCGGCGGACGGGUGAGUAAUGCCUAGGAAUCUGCCUGGUAGUGGGGGAUAACGCUCGGAAACGGACGCUAAUACCGCAUACGUCCUACGGGAGAAAGCAGGGGACCUUCGGGCCUUGCGCUAUCAGAUGAGCCUAGGUCGGAUUAGCUAGUUGGUGAGGUAAUGGCUCACCAAGGCGACGAUCCGUAACUGGUCUGAGAGGAUGAUCAGUCACACUGGAACUGAGACACGGUCCAGACUCCUACGGGAGGCUCGAGUGGGGAAUAUUGGACAAUGGGCGAAAGCCACAUCCAGCCAUGCCGCGUGUGUGAAGAAGGUCUUCGGAUUGUAAAGCACUUUAAGUUCCGAGGAAGGGCAUAUACCUAAUACGUUGGUGUCUUGACGUUACCGACAGAAUAAGCACCGGCUAACUCUGUGCCAGCAGCCGCGGUAAUACAGAGGGUGCAAGCGUUAAUCGGAAUUACUGGGCGUAAAGCGCGCGUAGGUGGUUCGUUAAGUUGGAUGUGAAAUCCCCGGGCUCAACCUGGGAACUGCAUUCAAAACUGACGAGCUAGAGUAUGGUAGAGGGUGGUGGAAUUUCCUGUGUAGCGGUGAAAUGCGUAGAUAUAGGAAGGAACACCAGUGGCGAAGGCGACCACCUGGACUGAUACUGACACUGAGGUGCGAAAGCGUGGGGAGCAAACAGGAUUAGAUACCCUGGUAGUCCACGCCGUAAACGAUGUCAACUAGCCGUUGGGAGCCUUGAGCUCUUAGUGGCGCAGCUAACGCAUUAAGUUGACCGCCUGGGGAGUACGGCCGCAAGGUUAAAACUCAAAUGAAUUGACGGG
rnacentral:rRNA from 1 species